rnacentral:lncRNA from 1 species
UUCUAUUACGCAGUGUGCUUGCAAUCCAUGUUGGCUGAAUGAGUGCGCAGGAAAAGUACAGGCGGAGCAUGAAAAACAAUACAAUUUAAAUCAGAGCGAUAGGAGCAUGCAUGCUAUUUAGAAUCCAUCUAGCAUGGAAGGAGUGAAUAAACAAGUAUUGGGAGAUGCGCUGGCAAACUUGAUGCCCUACCUUGGCACAUUCAUGUGUCCUGUGAUACCUUCAUAACGCUGCUCUUUGAUGAUGUUUUGCUUGUCUGUCUCUCCCUCUAACAGGUGAACUGUGCCUUGAGGGCGAUGAUGGUGGUCUCCAUCAGCACUCAAAGGAAUGGCCCAGCAAGGAUUAAUAAACCGAUGCUGAAUUAGUGAAUUAAUGAAUCAGUUUAUAUUACCUUGCAUAGUAUUUGCAAAAAUGGUGCACCUCGAUGUCAAACCAAGUAGUGAGAAUUUCAUAUUUAAGAGCACUAGGGUCUCCUAAAUCUGCUAGGUAUGGAAAACAGAGUCUGCUUUCAUUUGUGUUGGCGAGCAAGUACUGGCAUGUGAUCAAGUUUGAACAAGAGGCAUGGUCUAAGGGCGAGGGACAGUGUUAA